rnacentral:rRNA from 1 species
GCAGCGACGCCGCGUGGGGGAUGACGGUCUUCGGAUUGUAAACCCCUUUCAGUAGGGACGAAGCGCAAGUGACGGUACCUGCAGAAGAAGCACCGGCUAACUACGUGCCAGCAGCCGCGGUAAUACGUAGGGUGCGAGCGUUUGUCCGGAAUUACUGGGCGUAAAGAGCUCGUAGGCGGUUUGUCACGUCGUCUGUGAAAUCCCUCGGCUUAACCGGGGGCGUGCAGGCGAUACGGGCAGACUUGAGUACUACAGGGGAGACUGGAAUUCCUGGUGUAGCGGUGAAAUGCGCAGAUAUCAGGAGGAACACCGGUGGCGAAGGCGGGUCUCUGGGUAGUAACUGACGCUGAGGAGCGAAAGCAUGGGUAGCGAACAGGAUUAGAUACCCUGGUAGUCCAUGCCGUAAACGGUGGGCGCUAGGUGUGGGGUCCUUCCACGGACUCCGUGCCGUAGCUAACGCAUUAAGCGCCCCGCCUGGGGAGUACGGCCGCAAGGCUAAAACUCAAAGGAAUUGACGGGGGCCCGCACAAGCGGCGGAGCAUGUGGAUUAAUUCGAUGCAACGCGAAGAACCUUACCUAGGCUUGACAUAUACAGGACGACGGCAGAGA